rnacentral:misc_RNA from 1 species
GAUCUUCGUGUAUAUGGAACGGAUAAAGAACAUAUACUAAGGACACCUGAAGAUCCAUUUUAUAAGCAGAUGGCUGCUGAAUUUACUAAGAAUCAGAUAGCGGUUGAUAUUUUUGCUUUAAGCGACAGAUACUCUGAUAUUGCUUCUUUAGGUUCUCUCGCCAAAUAUACUGGUGGUCAGGUGUAUCAUUUUCCAUCUUUCCAGGCAGCUGCGCAUCAGGAGAAAUUCCAAUAUGAAUUGGCCAGGGACCUUACCAGGGAGACUGCCUGGGAAGCAGUAAUGCGUAUCAGAUGUGGAAAAGGAGUGCGUUUUACUACAUACCAUGGACAUUUU